CGGAAAGAGCUACCGUCGCUGAUCAUCGUGGAAAUGUACAUACAGCAGUGUAUCCGGAGUACUUAAAAAACUAGGAGGUUUUUGGCACUUAAGAGAAUGUCUUUUUGACGGAUUUGAACCAGCGAGAAAUCAUGGUUCUUGGUCGGCUUGAUCAUCUGAACAUUAAUCUUAUGGAGGGAUUAAUAACAUCUCAUUCAUCGAGUGGUUGCCGCUAAAUGACAUCACAUUCAAUGACAUCCAGGUUAUAUGGAGCUUGGAGUAUAUGAAGCAACUAUUAUCUGCAGCCAAGCACUGUCGCUUUAGAGGUAUAUGCAUUGCGACAUCAAAGCAUCAAAUAUUUUGUAAUGAUUGAGGAAUAAGUUGGGAGAUUUUGGAUUGGCAAGUGUCGUAAAUAUGACUAACAAGCAACCACCGACAACUUAGUGGCAUAACCUUGUGGUAGUGUCCUCCUGAACUUCUUAUGGGGCCAGCAAAGUAAGAAGUAUCCCUGCAUAUAUAGAUGCAGCAUUGGCUAGUGUAUAUGCUGAACCUUUCCCAAGGCAGCCUAUCCUUAAAGGAACAAUUGAGAACUUCAGAACCCCUUAGUGCUUGUGAUCUAUCAAAGUUGCCAAAGUAUCUUCCCACCAAAGAAAUGGAUGCUAAAAGUCGUUAGGGUGAACAAAGGAAAGAGACUGGUGCUUGAGCAACAAAGACAGCAUCAUAAAAACCAUGGAUAUUUAUUUGCAAAAGUCAAAUAUUUCUGCACAACUAGCACCAAAAGAGAUCUCUCUCUGUUCAUGUUAUAGAGGGAUGAAGCAAUAAGCAAGCUACUUUUAACUGCAUGAUUGUUCUUGAUUGGGUGGGAAAGACAAUGAUGCUAGUCAACCUUCUUGUAAAAAUGGUGUUUACCGGCAUAUCCUUAUCCUAUGCGCAAAAGAAAGUCUUCUCUGUAGUGACUCCAAAAUCCGGCAUUUGAUGCUGUUUUGGAGAAUUGCAAGUUGAAUGCAAACCAAGGAAAUUAUUUUUCUCUUCUACAGGAGCAAGUGCUUAACAUUUGCAAAAUGCAAAAUGAUGGAAUUUUGUACUAAAUCUUCAGCUUCAAAUGGCUCAAAAAGGUAAUUCGGUGUACUGGAUAGAACUCCCACAAAGAGUGCUGUUGACUUAUCGAAACCAGGGAAUGAACUUGCCAUGGCAAUAUAAAAGUCUGCGAUAGGAGAAGACGAAGAUGAUCCAGGAAAGAUGCACAUUUACAACAGCGAAAUCAACAAUCUGGUGGUGCAGGGUAUAUCAAAUCCCUGUAAUCAGAAGAGAUGCCAAAACAGCCUUCUGGACAUC